rnacentral:rRNA from 1 species
AUUGAACGCUGGCGGCAUGCUUUACACAUGCAAGUCGAACGGCAGCGACGGGUGCUUGCACCUGGUGGCGAGUGGCGGACGGGUGAGUAAUACAUCGGAACGUGUCCUGAAGUGGGGGAUAACGCAUCGAAAGAUGUGCUAAUACCGCAUAUUCUCUGAGGAGGAAAGUAGGGGAUCGAAAGACCUUAUGCUUUUGGAGCGGCCGAUGUCUGAUUAGCUAGUUGGUAAGGUAAUGGCUUACCAAGGCGACGAUCAGUAGUUGGUCUGAGAGGACGACCAGCCACACUGGGACUGAGACACGGCCCAGACUCCUACGGGAGGCAGCAGUGGGGAAUUUUGGACAAUGGGCGCAAGCCUGAUCCAGCAAUGCCGCGUGAGUGAAGAAG